GGGCCCGUAGCUCAGCACGGUUAACUGAGAGCCAGCAAUAGCUCUUACAGGCCGAGGAGCACACGGCUGAUACAGAUAACCUCCGGAAACCGUGGGGUCGCCGGUUCAAAUCCGGCCGGGCCCA
rnacentral:tRNA from 1 species